AGUUUAAUCAGACAGCCCUACCCACUACUCCACUACACCACUACAGUCCAGUCCCCUGCGGGAGAGGGGCAGUGGGGCCCAGGGAUCUUUCAGCAUUUGCUAUGUGGCAGCUGUUACUUUGUUUUCUUCUCUUGGCUUGAAAGGCUGGGAACUCAGAGCCAACGGAACAGCAACAACAACAAUACCGAGUUUCCACAGAGUCCCUGUGGACCCAGCACCUGGCCAGUGCUCAAGAGCGCCCUAGCACCAAUGGUUUCAUCACCCUUUAGAAGUUCUGGAUGGAUACCAUCUAAAACUGUGGAUUUCUCAUGGAAAGUCUCAAGAAUGACUUUCGUCCCUUGAUCCACUUGAAGUCCUGUCUCUGAGGGGCACAGAGGCCAACCAG
rnacentral:lncRNA from 1 species